UACGAAGGGGGCUAGCGUUGCUCGGAAUCACUGGGCGUAAAGCGCACGUAGGCGGAUCGUUAAGUCAGGGGUGAAAUCCUGGAGCUCAACUCCAGAACUGCCUUUGAUACUGGCGAUCUUGAGUUCGGGAGAGGUGAGUGGAACUGCGAGUGUAGAGGUGAAAUUCGUAGAUAUUCGCAAGAACACCAGUGGCGAAGGCGGCUCACUGGCCCGAUACUGACGCUGA
rnacentral:rRNA from 1 species